rnacentral:SRP_RNA from 1 species
GGCCGGGUCCUGUGCAACGACGUCCCGUGAACCGAGUCAGGGCCGGGAGGCAGCAGCUCUCAGCGGAGUUCGUCGUGUGCCGCAGAUCGCCUGGCCGCC